GCACCGGUGGUGCAUGGUGCACGCUGCGUUUCAAUGUGAAUUCGGAUCGGAUGUCAUUUCAGGCAGGUCGGGGUUCGAUCCCUCGCCAGUGCA